rnacentral:rRNA from 1 species
UACGUAGGGGGCAAGCGUUGUCCGGAAUCAUUGGGCGUAAAGAGCGUGUAGGCGGCCCGAUAAGUCCGCUGUGAAAGUCCAGGGCUCAACCCUGGAAUGCCGGUGGAUACUGUCGGGCUCGAAUCCGGAAGAGGUGAGUGGAAUUCCUGGUGUAGCGGUGAAAUGCGUAGAUAUCGGAAGGAACAUCAGUGGCGAAAGCGACUUCCUGGACCAGUACCGACGUCAGGCACGAAAGCGUGGGGAGCAAACAGG